rnacentral:rRNA from 1 species
UUAAGCAUAUCAAUAAGCGGAGGAAGAGAAACUAACCAGAAUUCCCGCAGUAACGGCGAGCGAAGUGGGAAGAGCUCGAGCCUUUAAUCCCUGGCAAAGGUUGUCAGCGAAUUGUGGCCGGUAGAGGUGGCUUGGCCCUGUCCCGCGGCGUCAAAGUUGACCUGGAAGGGCACGUCGGAGAGGGUGAGAACCCCGUUGCUGAUCCCGCGGGUGUGGGCAGGCGCCGCCUUCCGAGAGUCGGGUUGUUUGGGAAUGCAGCCCAAAGUGGGUGGUAAACUCCAUCUAAAGCUAAAUACUGACACGAGACCGAUAGCGAACAAGUACCAUGAGGGAAAGGUGAAAAGUACUUUGAAAAGAGAGUCAAAGAGACCGCGAAACCGUUAGGAGGGAAGCGAAUGCAGCCUGAUGAUUCCGUUCGGGUUCAGGGAGGGUCAUGUGGGCGUCGAGGUCGGGUGGACUCGCGAGAGCGUCCCGUCUCGCUCGACCGGUGAUCCCUCUGCAUUCCCGUCUUGGAGUCGGCCAACGAGGGUGGCUGGUGGCCAGUGGAAGGCCGGAGGGUAGGUGCCUCCAGCGGCUUCCGGGUCUUUGGAGAACUUACAGCCUCCGGUGGUUGAGGUUGCUUGCUGCCGAGGAGGUGUGUGCGACCUUCGCACAAGUCAGCGCAGGCUCCGCAGGGGCCGGGUCGCUUCUGGCCGUGUGGAAGGCGCAGCAAGGGACUGCGUGCAGUGCCUGCUGACGCCGUGUCUGCUCGGGCGGGAGGCGGGCCACGACGUGCGCUGGAGUUGUUGGUGAUGAAGGAAUGGCUCCAUCGAAUCGGUCUU